rnacentral:rRNA from 1 species
UAGGGAAUCUUCCACAAUGGACGCAAGUCUGAUGGAGCAACGCCGCGUGAGUGAAGAAGGUUUUCGGACCGUAAAGCUCUGUUGUUGGUGAAGAAGGAUAGAGGUAGUAACUGGCCUUUAUUUGACGGUAAUCAACCAGAAAGUCACGGCUAACUACGUGCCAGCAGCCGCGGUAAUACGUAGGUGGCAAGCGUUGUCCGGAUUUAUUGGGCGUAAAGCGAGCGCAGGCGGAAGAAUAAGUCUGAUGUGAAAGCCCUCGGCUUAACCGAGGAAUUGCAUCGGAAACUGUUUUUCUUGAGUGCAGAAGAGGAGAGUAGAACUCCAUGUGUAGCGGUGGAAUGCGUAGAUAUAUGGAAGAAUACCAGUGGCGAAGGCGGCUCUCUGGUCUGCAACUGACGCUGAGGCUCGAAAGCAUGGUAGCGAACAGGAUUAGAUACCCUGGUAGUCCAUGCCGUAAACGAUGAGUGCUAAGUGUUGGGAGGCUUCCGCCUCUCAGUGCUGCAGCUAACGCAUUAAGCACUCCGCCUGGGGGAGUACGACCGCAAGGU